rnacentral:lncRNA from 1 species
GAGAUAAAAGUCUCUAAAUGGUGUGUGGCUAUAGAAAGCAAAAAUCUAAAUUGACAUUCCUGUUAGCAAUCUAUUGGGUUAUAUCGAUAGGUGCUUCAAUAAUAGUCCAUACUUGAUUGAUGUACAGGAAGUUCUUUUUCAGAUUUCAUGAUUUCAAGCCAUUCUAUAUGAGUCUCUACUCAUAACUAUCUCCAAAUAGGUCAAGAAAAUAUCAUACUCAAUAAUGC